AGUCUCUCCAUAGAGAGAAUACGAUGACUGAAGAGGACUUUAUAUGCUGAGAUGAAAUUUAGUUUGUUCAAAUCCGUAAUGAAUUGCCAUCGGGAAGUAUUGGACUGCUUGCCACUACAAGUGUUCAAUCAGUCUGGACAAGAUUUUGAGAGGAAUUUUCUAGAGAGAUCUUAGUCAUCUAAUUUGCAGCUGGCCUACUUGACCUUUUUCUUCUUUACUCCUGAAUCUUGUUUAUAAAAAAUGCAAUGUAAUAAAAUAUAAUUUAUAUUGUAUGUAAUAUAAAAUUACUGAUACCUCUGUGAAUAUAUAUUAUAAACAAAUGAAUAUAUACAAUGUAUAUUAUAUUACAUUACGGGUCAUUUUCUUCCUAAACUAUAAUCAUUUUUACAGUUUUAAACCAAAAAGGUAGUGAAAAUAAGCGAGCCCAUUUCAAAUUUCUAGGAAGUAUCCCUAAAUUGUUUCCUCAGACUUUUGACUUAUUUCACAUAGAAUCCUAACAUACAUGGUUGUCUGUUUUUC
rnacentral:sRNA from 1 species